CCACUUCUAUCAAUCCUCGAGAGAUUAGCGUAUAAAAGGGCGCUCGGGAUCUCGAUUUCGGCAUAACGCAUUUUUUGUGCAAUUCUAUUCUUUGUUUUCACUUCGUAUUUUAUUCCACGAAAACCAACCAACAUCAAAAAUGGGCGCUGAAAAGGUAUCCAUGAACAUUGUUGUCGUCGGACAAGUCCAAUCUCCCAAGGCCAUCAACAAGGUCGCCAAAGCCGCCCCAGCUACCAGCCAAUCGAUGAUCUGUUAAAUAAUGUAGUUCAUCCAUUACAAACUCAAGAAUGCCAUAAUCCAAACAAUACGUCAUGUAAUUAAUAUAUUAUAAUAUGUAUUGACAUUGCUAAAUAAAACAGACUCUUCCGUUAA
rnacentral:lncRNA from 1 species